UAAGGAAUAUUGCUCAAUGGGAGAAAUCCUGAAGCAGCAACGCCGCGUGGAGGAUGAAGGGUCUAUGACUUGUAAACUCCUGUAAAGAAGGAAAAAAUUCCCAUUUGAUGGGAGAUGAUGGUACUUCUGGAGUAAGCCCCGGCUAACUACGUGCCAGCAGCCGCGGUAAUACGUAGGGGGCAAGCGUUGUCCGGAUUUACUGGGCGUAAAGGAUGCGUAGGCGGAUACUUAAGUCAGAUGUGAAAAUCCCGGGCUUAACUUGGGAACUGCAUUUGAAACUGGGUAUCUAGAGUGCGGGAGAGGAAAGUGGAAUUCCUAGUGUAGCGGUUAAAUGCGUAGAGAUUAGGAAGAACACCGGUGGCGAAGGCGACUUUCUGGACCGUAACUGACGCUGAGGCAUGAAAGCGUGGGGAGCAAACA
rnacentral:rRNA from 1 species